GGCGGGCGCCGGCGCCGCGGCCGGCGCGGGCGCCCUGGUCGGGUGCUCGGGCCGCGCCGGCGCUCCGGCCGCCGCGCCCGCCG
rnacentral:tRNA from 1 species